rnacentral:rRNA from 1 species
UGCCAGCCGCCGCGGUAAUACGAAGGGGGCUAGCGUUGUUCGGAAUCACUGGGCGUAAAGCGCACGUAGGCGGACUUUUAAGUCAGGGGUGAAAUCCCGGGGCUCAACCCCGGAACUGCCUUUGAUACUGGAAGUCUUGAGACCGAGAGAGGUGAGUGGAACUCCGAGUGUAGAGGUGAAAUUCGCAGAUAUUCGGUGGAACACCAGUGGCGAAGGCGGCUAACUGGACUGAUACUGACGCUGAGGUGCGAAAGUGUGGGGAGCAAACAGGAUUAGAUA